rnacentral:sRNA from 1 species
CCACUUCGAUUUGUUGGGGACAAAUAAAGUGGAUGUGGGAAUCAAUACCACCAGCCGUGAGAAUCAUACCUUCACCAGCAACCGCUUCUGUACCAGGGCCGAUAAUAAUAUCUAUAUCGUCUUGAAUAUAAGGAUUACCGGCUUUACCCAUUUUGAAGAUUUUGCCAUCUUUAAUGCCGAUAUCUGCUUUGACAAUACCCCACCAAUCGAGAAUCACAGCAUUGGUGAUGACCAUAUCAACAGCACCAUCGGCGUUAGAGAUGGGGGAUUGUCCCAUUCCAUCACGAAUGA